CUCCUGAUACUGGGAUUACAGGCAUGUGCCACUACAUCUGGGCAGAACAUGAUCUUAAAUAACUGUUAAAACUCCUUAGUGUUCACUUUUUUGAUAAUGACAUUUGUUUUUAGCCAGUGAAAUCUCAAUACAAUCUUUUUUUUUUCAUUUGUUUUCCAUUUCAUAGGGAGACCGUUCUAAUCUGAGCACUAGCCAGCCUUUUCCAUCUGCAUUGCCUCCAUUUGUUCAUCAAGAACCAACCAGCAAAUUAGAACAUCAUUCCUCCAGUCUCAGAAUGUUGAGAGUAUCUCGUGACGCUCUGCCAGCAACUCUCAGACAUUUAACAGUAUAUAGAAUUCUUUCAAGAAUCUUCUCCAGUGCCCUGGGUUUCAUCUUUGGAACCCAUCAUAGCGAAAGAAGAGACCUAACUCUUAAAAGUUGUCCUCUGAUCUCUACAUGUGUGCUGUGGUGCACCACCAUAUUCAUAUCCUCCUUCUCUUCUUCCCGAGCUCCCUUCCUCCCUCUCUCCGUUCCCCCUCCCCUCCCUCUCACACACAUAAGUAAAAUUAAAUAUUAAAACAAAAUAAAAAAAAUAGUGGUCUCAUAGAAGUCAGCAGUGGCUACAUUUGGACCUGGUAUUUUUGGUUGGCAAGAUUGGGCACACCUUUAAUCCCAUCUCUCAGGAGGUCGAGGGAGAUAGAUCUUUGUGAGAGGCCAGCCUGGUCUAUAUAGUGAGUUCUAGGCCAGCUGGGGCUACAGGGAGACCCUUUCUCAGAAAAAGAAAAGAAUAAAUAAAUUCUCCAGAGCUGACAUAGUGGGCAUGAAUUCCUUAAGUUAGUGUUUAUCAUAGAUUUUUUUCCCUUCAGUAGUAAAGGACAUCUUUGCUGGAUAUGGCAAUCUGGAUUGGCAGUAUUGUCAUUCUGAUCUUGAAAUACAUUGGUUCAUGUCCUCCAGGCUUUUAGUUUCUAUUGAGAACUCUGCUAUUACUGUGAUAGGUUUGUCUUUUUUCUUUUUUUUUUUUUUAAAAAGUAUUUUAUUCAUUAUUUUUAUUUUUAUGUGUAUGAGUGUAUUGCCCGCAUGUAUGUGAGUGCACCCAUGUCGUGCAAUGCCAUGAAGGUCAGAAGAGAGCUUCGGAUCCCCCUGGAACUGGAGUUAAGGAUGGUUUGUAGCAGCCAUGUGGGUGCUGGGAAUCGAACCCAGGUCCUCUGCAAGAGCAGUCAGUGCUCUUAACU
rnacentral:lncRNA from 1 species